GAUAUCACAGUUAUUUGUGGCUAACAAAGUAGCCAAGUCUUUUACAUCUGUUCGUAGAUUCUCAGCCAAACACAGUGCUUGCAGAUAGCUAGCAGCAUUUAUCAAGGAAGGAGUUUGGAAGUUGAUUUCUUCAAAAUAGCCAUCAAACAUUAAGCUAAACGUUGGAUCAUUGGUAGUAAGAAUUACAGGUCUCUUUGCAGUUGCCAUGAACGUCUUUAUUGCACUUAGAAAUCCUGCAUCUUCAUCAAAUAUUAUAUCUACCUCUUCAAAAAGUAUGAGAGAUGUUGCACUUUUUCUGUUAUGUUCUCCAUCUUCUAUUUCUUUGCUUAUUGACUUAAUUUGAACGUUUUUUU
rnacentral:lncRNA from 1 species